rnacentral:rRNA from 1 species
CCUACGGGAGGCAGCAGUGAGGAAUAUUGGUCAAUGGACGAGAGUCUGAACCAGCCAAGUAGCGUGAAGGAUGACUGCCCUAUGGGUUGUAAACUUCUUUUAUAUGGGAAUAAAACGUUCCACGUGUGGGAUUUUGUAUGUACCAUAUGAAUAAGGAUCGGCUAACUCCGUGCCAGCAGCCGCGGUAAUACGGAGGAUACGAGCGUUAUCCGGAUUUAUUGGGUUUAAAGGGAGCGUAGGUGGAUUGUUAAGUCAGUUGUGAAAGUGUGCGGCUCAACCGUAAAAUUGCAGUUGAAACUGGCAGUCUUGAGUACAGUAGAGGUGGGCGGAAUUCGUGGUGUAGCGGUGAAAUGCUUAGAUAUCACGAAGAACUCCGAUUGCGAAGGCAGUUCACUGGACUGCAACUGACACUGAGGCUCGAAAGUGUGGGUAUCAAACAGGAUUAGAUACCCCUGUAGUC